rnacentral:lncRNA from 1 species
CCUUUGUUAGCUCAUCUCUUCUUUUCUUUUUUUUUGCUUUUUUUCUCUUUUUUCUUUUUUUUUCUUGAUCCACUUUCCUUGCACUGCUUUGUUCCUGUUUCACACAAAGAAAAACUCAUCAGUUUUGAAAAUGAUGGUCGGUUUAUGGCUUUGGGUCUCGGGCAGCUUGGCUUCUGCUUCAAUCAGCUUGAGUCGAUUUCAAGAGACCUUUGUUCUGCAUCAACCCUAAUUAUUUCACACCCAGUACCAUUUGUAUUUGUGACUCAAUCAGCCUUGUCCCAAUUGGAGGUAUUGGCUCAGGUGACCUUUCCUGAUAUCUUCAAUGACUUUCUGCUUUUUGAGCAAUUUAUCUGUCAAAGAGAAUCACAAGUUAUCUUUGGUUGCGCCAAGCUGGCUGACAAGAGUCUUUUGGGGAAGCCCUUGCAUGAAUCCUCAAGGCAUGCUAACAGUAACAACUGAGUCCGCUAGCCAAAUUUACUUUGUGCAGCUGAAAAGUUGGUAGCAGAUUUUGAAAUCUUUUCUUGCUUGUUUUGACAAAGAUGGACUCAAAGUGAAGAACACAAUGAUGCAAAGAAACAAAUAUUAACAAGAAAUUCUCCAUGUCAGAAGGACAGAAGGAGGAGUGUUUUUUUUUCUUUUUUUUCAUUUCAUUUUUUUAUUUGUUUUUUCAAUAACUAGCCUUAAUGAUCAUGACAUGCACUUGGAUUCAACGGCCUGAUCUAUUAAAACUAAUCCAAUAUUCCCUUUUACCAUUCUGAUGACUUUUGAAGUCGGGCUUGUUAAUGUCAAUCCUUUGUCUCAGCUUCAUACCUCACUUUCGACUAGUGGUGUCCGAGGGGUUUUCACCAGCAAGUCUCCCUCAUUUAUUCAUCUCUUCUUAUCAUCGUAUUGCAGUGCCCGUUAGGGUUUUCACUAAUAAGAAUCUCUCAUUUUUCUUUUAUUUUUCUUUUGCCUUUUCUUUUUCUUUCCCCUUCUUUUUCUUCUUGCGAGCAACUUGACAGUGUUCUAUGUCACGUGACAACCGUUGCUCAUUGCCUGCUUUUCUUGGAAUUCUUGAAGGCUGAUCAGAAGGUCUUUAUUUGGAAGGUUUGUGGAUACGGGCGGGGAGAAAGGGUCGGCAUGACGGCUCAAAGUUGACUCAAAGUGAGGAGUUGUAGACUUACAACUCUUGGAAUCGACUCUUGAAAAGUAAAAUUGUGAUGACCUAGCCGGUCUUCUUAAGAAUUAACGCCCCAAUCCCCUAUUAACUGCUUUUCCCAUGUUCAUUUCUGCUAUUUUGAUUUUCCGGGACGUUCAGUGUUGGGUUUCAAUGAGUUUUGGGACACUUAGUCCCUAAAUGAGAGCUUAAGUGUUGAAAAAUGGUCCGUAGUUGAAAAAGUGUGAAGAUGACCUCGGAAUGGAAAUUCGAUGGUUCUGUUAGCUUCGUUAUGUGAUUUCGAGGUUGGGAGCGUGUUCGGGAUGUAUUUUGAAAGUCCGUAGCUCAUUUAGGCUUGAAAUGCCGAAGUUGACAUUUUUGAAGUCUCCGGUCCGAUAGCGAAUUUUUGAUACGAGGGUCGGAUUGGAAUUCCAAAAAUUGCAGUAGCUCCGUCAUGUCAUUUGGGACGUGUGUGCAAAAUUUCAGGUCAUUCAGUAUUUUAGUUAGGUUUUUUAUCGAAAGUGUAUUUUGAUGAAAUUUGAAGUUCUUAGGCUCAAAUACGUGAUUUAAUCAAUGUUCCGACGUUAUUUCAGGUGUUUCGAAGAUUGAUGCAAGUUUUAAUAGGGUAUUAGGUGUUAUUGGUGCUUUUGGUUGAGGUCUCAUGGGCCUCGAGAUGAUUACGAAUGAUUGACGGAAGGAUUUUUGAAGUUUGGAAAUAUAAGUCUUUGCUGCUUCUGGUAUUUCCGCAUCUGCGGCUUGGGAACCACAUAUGCGGUUCCGCAAUUGCGACAUUGAAGACCGUAGAAGCGAUUUUGGUCAAGAUUGUUUGUUUCUGCAAAUGCGGUAUUUGGUCCGCAGAAGUGAGACUGCAUCUUCGAGGAAUAACUGCAGAAGCGGAUUUGGGGCGUUUAAUGUAAAAUCACAGAAGCGAUUGAUUUUGCCGCAGAAGCGGAACCGCAUAAGAGGUUAGUGGUUCGUAGAAGCCCAAAUCCCUGUUCAGAUACAGAAAUUUUGAGGGUUAGAUUUCAUAAGUUAAAAAAUCAAAUUGAGCUCGGGGAAGGGCAAUUUUCAGAGGGUUUUGAAGAGAAGACUAUUGGGUAACGUUUCUUUAAUCUCUUCAAAUUAUAUUUCAUCAUUUUGUAGUUAAACCCAACAUUAAAAUUCGAAUUUGGGAUCAAAAGUUGGACAAAAUUGGGUGAAACUUCUUAGACCAAACUAUUCGGUUUUGAGUGGGCAUUUGACCUCCAAUUUGGGAAGUUUUUAUAUGGUUAGACUCGUGGGAAUACGAGGGUUCUGAAAAUGUAAAAUUUAUCCGAUUUUGAGAUGUUUUCCUGAGGGGAAUUUUUGUUAUUUUACCUAUUUUCGCGCAUUAGCUUUAAAUUUAAUAGUGAAAUUAGUUGUUUGCAAUGUUAUUUACGAUAUGUAAUUGAAUUGAACAGAUUUGGGCCAUUUGGAGUCGGAUACUCGUGGCAAGAGCAUAGUUUCGGGUUGACUUGCACUUGUUAGAGGUAAGUGCCUUGUCUAACCUUGUGUGGGGGACCUUUCCCCUAGGAUAUGUUAUUUGGUAAUUGAGUGCCUUUUACGUGAGGUGACGAGCGCGUACUUGAGCUAAUCGUUGAAAAUCUGAUUUUUACUUAAGAUAUUGAGACUGAGUUUCUUUCACACUUACUUAUCUUACUUGCAAUUAUAACCUGUGUUAGAUUAGAAAGACAUGUUUAGUUGAUUUUACUCAUGGCAAAAGUGUGAUUUCGAGUUGAUUUUGGAGCCGGUUCGAGGUAAGUGACUUGUCUUACCUUAUGUGGGAGACCUUUCCCCUAGGAUAUCCUAUUUGGUAAUUGAAUGCCUUGUACGUGAGGUGACGAGCACGUACUUGGGCUAAUCAUUGUAAAUCAGGUUUUUACUUAAGAUAUUGAGACUCAGUUUCUUUCGUACUUACUUUAUCUUACUUGCAGUUAUAACCUGUGUUAGAUUAGAAAGACAUAUUUAAUUGAUUUAACUUGCCUACUUGCUUAAAUUGCCUUAACUACAUUACGUGAGACAUAUUAGGCUAGAACUAUCUGUUGCUUGUAUUGUUGUACUUCAUUUAUGAAUAUUCUCUGAUUGUGAUUGUGCAUAUUUACUUUGGGACUACGAGUUUGAUUCCCGGGAGAAUCCCCUGCAUAUUUACUUUGGAACUACGGGUUUGAUUCCCGGAAGAUCCCCUUACAUAUUUACUUUGGGACUACGGGUUUGAUUUCCGGGAUAUCCCCCUGCAUAUUUACUUUGGGACUAUGGGUUUGAUUCCCUGGAUAUCCCCUUGCAUAUUUACUUUGGGACUACGGGUUAGAUUCUGGGAGAUCUCCUUGCACAUUUAUAUUAUGGAUCACAGGACGGUAUCCUGGGAGAUCCUCGUUAUUGGUAUUGAUAUGGAAAUGGACUACAGGACGGUAUCCUGGGAGAUCCUCGUUAUUGGUAUUUGAUAUAGAAAUGGACUACGGGACGGUAUCCUGGGAGAUCCUCACUGUUGGUAUUGACAGGGACUACAGGACGGUAUCCUGGGAGAUUCUCGUAAUUGGUGCUGAUAUUUAGCUGUUUUACUCUGUGUUAUUUUAUCCUCAGUGUGUUGAUUGUUGUUGUGUGACCUGACUUAAUUCACAGUUGUAUUUCAUUAUUUCUUUUUACUGUAUAACUAUUGGUUGCAUUCUUAUUAUAUUGUUUAAUCUCAGUAGGGCCCUGACCUUCCUCGUCACUACCCGGUCGAGGUUAGGCUUGGAACUUACUGAGUACCGCUGUAGUGUACUGAUGCCCCUUCUGCGCAUGUUUUUCAUAUGCAAAUCCAGGUACCUCCACUCAGGCAUACUACCCUCGAGGCAGAGAGAUCUAGCGGAGAGUUCGAGGUAUAUUUGCCGCGUCCGCAGACCAGGAGUCUCUAUUGUAUUAUAGCUUUACUAGUUAUUCUAUCCUUUUGUUUUCAGUUGUUUAGACAUUCUGGAGUUAGAGCAGUAUAUAAAGUUUCUAUUAGCCUGUGGUUCACGUGAGUUUCCGGGUUUUGGGAUUGAGUUGUAUACUUCCGCAUUUAUUUUGAGUUGUAUAUGCCAAGUGACACUUAUAUACCAUUUUUACUUCUAAUUUUUGCUAAUUUAAUUAAAUGCUUCCGCAAGUUAUAUAAAUUUCUGCAUUGUUAGGCUUACCUAGUUGUAGGAACUAGGUGCCAUCACGACAUGUUCUUGGAGGGUGAACGGGGGUCGUGAUAGAAAUACUAUCUUUGCCCCAGUUUCAACCAUUAAGGAUUUAUUUUUCCUGAAUUCUUAUUUGGUUAGACCGAAACGUGAGGCUGCCUACGUAUCCUUUUUUUCAAAGAAAUCAGGUCUAACGUAGUUCAAAUAUCUAACCUAAACUAUUUUUCAUCUUUCUUUCAGUUUCUCUUUUCAUUUUUUUUACUCUAAACUUUGAUUCCAAAAGAGGAUGAUCAAAGAAAAUAACACAGGCUCAAAAGAGGUAACAAAGGGUAUGAAGUAUUUGGAUAGAAUAAAAAGGGCCUCACAUCCCCGAGAAUGCCAAUUAUAAUAUCAUGUCGCGAUCACAUCAUCGAUGAACAUGCAUGUCUUCGUGGAUCUUUUUAGUGUAAAGCUAUAUGAGCAAUACUUUACUCCUGUGAAUGACCAUUCUCAAUUUAGGUGACUUUUCUUGGAUUUUGUAUUGAUGUAGCAUAUGCAUUUUGCCAUUAACUGAUCCAUUACAAGUUGUCUGGAAUACACCUUCUAUUGAAAAAUACUUUCCAACUCUUAGUGCUAAACAGACUUCAACCCGUCCGAUUAUCCUUAAGCCCGAUCUUCUCAAAUGAUUUAAAAGGUAGAGAUCCUUAACUUCCAUGAGCAUGAUUGCUUUGGUUCCAUGUAAACUUGGCUCAUGCUUAUUUUCCAAAUGUUUCAUGUGUUUAUUCUUCUUCAAAAGUGUCUCUUUCUCACUUGUGCGAUUUAAGACUAAAUCAGCUUUCUAUGAUCUGGCCAAAAAUUCUGCAUGCAUGUCAUGUCACUGGAACUAGCGUGAAAAGAACUAUGUACAAAAUGGACACAAAAUGACUGACUAUUUUUUAUUGAAUAAAGGAUAGCAGGGUCCAAUCACAAAAAGAAGAAGAAAAGACGAUAAAAUAAGCUACCAUGACUCAUCUCUGUCUAAAAAAUGAGUGACUUUCCAGUUGCUAAGAGACAUCUAGCCACAGACUUACACAUUAGCAUUACUAUGGUAUUUGGCCAUUUUUAUUGUUAUGGAUUCACCACUCAAAUUCUGACUUUUGAUCAAAUUGUUCCCCAUAUUGGCUAUCUGAUUUCAGGAUUGAAAACAUGGAAAUUUUACAGUACUUAUAUCGCCAAAAAGACUUGAACUAAUUCUCAUGUUUCCCUAUCAUCACAGAUCAUCAAAGUAGAGCAUGUCCUGUUGCUCAAAACUGGUAGAAGUUGCCCCUAUUUUAUCAACAACUUGCCUACUUGCCUCUUCGUGACCUUAGUUGGAUCAACAACGACGGUUCUUGUUCCUUCGUUUGAGAAGAUGCUUUUAUUUCCAGGGGAUCUUGGAUUGUCUUUAGUGACUCGCCAUUGCAAACCAACAAAUCGACCACCAUUGACUAGCUUUUUAUUUCAAAACAACAACCAUGUAAGAAAAUACUCUUUCUUUCUUUUUUUUCUCUCUUUUCUUUCUGCUUUUUUUUGGCUAUUCUUUCUUUUGUUUUUUCUUUUCUUUUUUUUCUUUUUUUAGUUCUUUUUUGUUUAAACCUUUCGAGCGAACCUGAUGUGGGUUUCAUAUGUAUCAUGACGCCGUAUAAAUCAGAAAUUGCAUAGUUCGGGAAGAUUAGGAAUAGAGGAAAUAAACUAAAUUUAUACUUUUCUGGAUUUCGAUUUUUUUUUAUUUUUUUAACUUUUUUUCAAAAGAAAGACUUAUAAAGAAGAAAGAGAAUAUUUUUAGAUUUUGAUUUUUCUCCAGCACUUUUGGAAAGAAAGACUUCUAAAGAAGAAAGAUUUUUUUUUAACUUUUAUUGCUUUUUUUGGAAUUUCGAAAGAAAAACUUCUAAAAAGAAAGAAAAAUAUUUUCGCAUUUAUGAAUUUAUUCUGAAGUUAGGAAAGAAGUACUACUAAAGAAAAGAAAGUAUUUUUGAAUUUUAAAUUUUCUUUUCAAUUAUCGAAAGAAGAAUGAAAAUGUUUUUGAAUUUUUAGAUUUUUUUCAAAAUUUUGAAAGAAAAACUUCUAAAGAAGAAAGAAAACUAUUUUUGCAUUUAUGGAUGUUUGAUUUAUUUAUUUUUUUGAAUUUUUGAAAGAAAUACUUCUCAAUAAAAGAGAAGAUAUUUUUGAAUCUUGAUUUUUCCUUUGAAUUUUCGAAAGAAGAAUCAAAAUAUUUGUUUUUUUAUUUUAUUUUGAGAAGUAACUAAAAGAAAAUAUUUUUUUGUAUUUUUUUUAAAUUGGGGUAUCAAAGAAAAACUUUCCUAAACAAGGAAGUACAUUUUUUUUUCGAUUUUUGAAAAUUGGGGGCCGGAACCGAUGAGGUUUGCCUAUAUAUCUCACAUCCAUUGAGAAUCAGACCCGCGUAGUUCUGCAAGAUUCGAAAAACUAACUAUUUUUGAAAACCUUUCUUUUUCUUUCAUUUUCUCAAAAACCCGGCAGAGUAUUAGUACAAUUUUGGUAUUGGUUUUUCAAAACAGGUGAUUACCCUCAUUUACUCUAACAUUGCUAUUUUCUUUUCAACUCUCUCCCAUUAUUUACAAGCCGGUCAACAUGCAAACUCGAAGCAAAUAAGUGCACAAGUAGCAAGUAUGAUGCAUCAGGAUGGUCUUUUCAAUUUGGGUACACCUGUCCUAUACGGAUCCAACUCCUGUGUUGAGUCUCCUAAGUCAAAUGUACGUGAUGCAAACAAAUGUUCCUACUAGGGAUCCGGCAUGAGGUUUUGUUAUACUAGGUUUAAAACCUAAAUUUAUUUUUCUAGACCAGGCUUACCCGAGUGGACAACUCGAGUCGGGGGAGAGCCAGUGUACCGGGAAUACAGAAGCUUCGCCGGCUUAGCAAUUUGUAUCAACAUGUAAAUCCGAAGCAAAUAAGUGCACAAGUCACAAGUAGGAUGCAUCAGGAUGGUCUUUUCAAUUUGGGUACAUAUGUCCUAGACGGACUCAACCUCUGUGUUGAGUCCCCUAAGUCAAAUGCACGUGAUGCAAACAAAUGUUCCUACUAGGAUUCGGCAUGAGGCUUUGUUAUACUAGGUUUAAAACCCGGGUUUACUGUUCUAGAUCUUGCUUACCCGAGCGGACAACUCGAGCCGAGGGGGGCAACGUACCGGGAAUACAGAAGCUUCGCCGGCUUAGCAACUUGUCCGAAACUCGUUCUAAAAUGGGAUAAGACUCUAAGCAGAAGAGAAGUGACACGAAGUGUACCCUUCUCCGUGAUAUAGAAGACUCGGAGAGAGGAAGGGAUUCGUAGCAGUUUAUAUAUACAAUUCACCAAAAUAUCAAAGCGGUAAAAGCAUUUCGCACAUUUAGCAUGAAACAUGUAGGAAAAUAAGAUAAAGCCAAUCAUAACAGCUAUUCUAAGCUCGAAAUUCUUAAACCCUGAACUGAUGUUCUGGGUUUGAGUCCUCAGGAGAGUCACCAGAACUUUCACACCUCCUUUUCAAAAAACCACCUCGAAGGGUAGUAUAUAAGAGAGUUUUUUUAAUGUAAGUGACAUUAUUCGAAAUGCGAUUAUUUAUUCAAUUUUAUUCAGGGUUGCCGCUUGGGAUAUUUAUUGGUUCUCAAGUCACCGAUUUAUUUUAAAUCCCAAAUCGAGAAAAUUUUCACUCUCCUUUUGAAAUCUGCGAACUAGAAAUUCUGAAUAGGGACGGUUAACCCGAGGGAAAGUGUUAGGUACACCCGGAUUCCGUAGUUCUAGCACGCUGCUUAAACUAUUAUAAUUCUCAUACUAUCUGAUUUUAAUACAUGUUUUAACCUAUGGUGCAGUUUUAAAUUAUUCACCACAAUUAAUUAAUCUUUGAAAAAGAUUGUACGUUGUUUAAAAUGUAUCUUUAGAUCGCGUCACAUGAAAUGCACCCGCAAUCCAAAGCCCAUUUUUAUUCAACGUUUUAGAAUCUGAAUUUGGGUCACAUGAAAGGCACACCUGAGUUUUGGAAAUUAAUUUUUAAAAUAGUACGCCUAAAGAAACUACGCAUUUUCAAGUUUGCGAGGGCCAUGAAAUAUUCAACUAAUGGUACAACUCAAUUUAUUUCAAAUGAUUUUACCCAAUUAAAGAAAACUACGGAUGUUCAUCAUUUUUUUUCUUUCUAAACUACUUCGAGAUUAUUGUAAAGGCCUUAAGUUAUGGAAAGUAUUGUGGAAGAAGUAUAUCACUUAGCUAUUGCUGUCGAGGAAGUAUAUGCAUUCGGAUAUUUUUGAAGUUUGAGAUUGCAAUGGAAAUUGUCCUACGUUGUAUUAUCAUACUAAGAUUGACAACACCAUUACAACAAAUAUUUUAGUAUGAAAUCAGCAAAAUUAAAAAAAACCAAUUUAAUUGGUCUAUCACAACAAAUAUUUUCAUAUCUCUAUGUACUAGUUGAAGCAUGAAUAAUUGAAUCCAUAGUUUUGACUAAAGAAAAAAUGUGAAUUCUUUCCCUAGUUAAGCAUAAAUAAAUAUUUAAAUAUACUAAACCCAUUUAUAAGCAAAAUCAUUUCAAUGACAAAGGAAAGGUAGCAGAUACUAUUUGGCUUGAGUUUAAGUAGCAAGAGAAUGAAGAGAGAAAAAAAGAAUUGUAAAAUUUGCCUUAAAGCAUUUUUUUAUUUCCUUUAUAUGAGCAACAUAUUAGAUGACACUAAAAGACAAAUAGCAAUUGAUGACGUAAUUAGAUCCAUCACGUGAAAGCAAAAAUGAAUAAGCAUUUUAUUGGGAAAGAAAAAUCGAAGGAAUCAUAUCAAUUCCUACAUAACAGCAAUUCGAAUUCAUAAAUAAGUACCUGAUUGUGCUGGAAUCAACUUAGAGAUGUCAAAUAGAGGCUAGAUAAGAAAUAAUCGGAGUUCAUCAAAACUGAAACAACAAAUUUUCAGCAACAAAAAACAGUGAUAUUGGACAUAAAUCUCUCUUAGAACCCAGAAAGCAAGGUGCAAACAAUCCCAGAUUUUCUUCUUGUCUUCAGCCUUUUCAGAUAUAACUUCUGUAUUUUGAGUUACUGCCAAGGUGUUUUUGUCGUGUGAGUGAGAUGAGAAGACUAAGAAAUAGAGAAGAAAAAGGGGAUGGUUGUUCGUCUUUUAUGGUGUGUGGAGGUCCGGUUGUUGAGUGAAAAUGAGAAGAAGACCCAGGAGUGUGACGGCGCUCCUCUCUUCUGCUAGGUCUUAGAUCUGAUUUUUUAAGGAGUUUUUUAGGUUUGUUUUUAUAGGUGGGAGGUAGGGUAAAGGGCAAUGGAUAUUUGAAUAGUGGUAUGGG